GUCGAGACUUAGCAUCAUGCUUGGGUAUCACCUACUGCUUGUGUGCUAGAGCCCUCAAAGUAACUACUGACCUUAUUCACUGAUUGUGGCCCUCAUGCCAUAGUCAGUUACCAGGUUAGUGACAUGA
rfam:Erinaceus europaeus unplaced genomic scaffold scaffold00171, whole genome shotgun sequence